UACGAAGGGGACUAGCGUUGUUCGGAAUCACUGGGCGUAAAGCGCACGUAGGCGGAUUCGUAAGUCAGGGGUGAAAUCCCGGGGCUCAACCUCGGAACUGCCUUUGAUACUGCGGGUCUUGAGUCCGAUAGAGGUGGGUGGAACUCCUAGUGUAGAGGUGAAAUUCGUAGAUAUCGGUAGGAACACCAGUGGCGAAGGCGGUCUCCUGGGGCAUUCUUGACGCUGAGGCGCGAAAGCUGGGGGAGCGAACGGG
rnacentral:rRNA from 1 species